UACGGGAGGCAGCAGUGGGGAAUAUUGCACAAUGGGCGAAAGCCUGAUGCAGCCAUGCCGCGUGUAUGAAGAAGGCCUUAGGGUUGUAAAGUACUUUCAUCGGGGAGGAAAAACAAAACUAAUAAUUUUAUUUCUUGACGUUACCCGAAAAAGAAGCACCGGCUAACUCCGUGCCAGCAGCCGCGGUAAUACGGAGGGUGCUAGCGUUAAUCAGAAUUACUGGGCGUAAAGAGCACGUAGGUGGUUUUUUUAAGUCAGAUGUGAAAUCCCUGGGCUUAACCUAGGAACUGCAUUUUGAAACUGAAAUACUAGAGUAUCGUAGAGGGAGGUAGAAUUCUAGGUGUAGCGGUGAAAUGCGUAGAUAUCUGGAGGAAUACCUGUGGCGAAAGCGGCCUCCUAAACGAAUACUGACACUGAGGUGCGAAAGCGUGGGGAGCAAACAGGGAUUAGAUACC
rnacentral:rRNA from 1 species